AUUGAACGCCGGCGGCAUGCUUUACACAUGCAAGUCGAACGGUAACAGGCCGCAAGGUGCUGACGAGUGGCGAACGGGUGAGUAAUGCAUCGGAACGUGCCCAGUCGUGGGGGAUAACUACUCGAAAGAGUAGCUAAUACCGCAUACGAUCUAUGGAUGAAAGCGGGGGACCGUAAGGCCUCGCGCGAUUGGAGCGGCCGAUGUCAGAUUAGGUAGUUGGUGGGGUAAAGGCUCACCAAGCCAACGAUCUGUAGCUGGUCUGAGAGGACGACCAGCCACACUGGGACUGAGACACGGCCCAGACUCCUACGGGAGGCAGCAGUGGGGAAUUUUGGGCAAUGGGCGCAAGCCUGAUCCAGCAAUGCCGCGUGCAGGAAGAAGGCCUUCGGGUUGUAAACUGCUUUUGUACGGAACGAAACGGCUCUGGUUAAUACCCGGGGCUAAUGACGGUACCGUAAGAAUAAGCACCGGCUAACUACGUG
rnacentral:rRNA from 1 species